UACAGAGGUCUCAAGCGUUGUUCGGAUUCAUUGGGCGUAAAGGGUGUGUAUGUGGCGCCGUAAGUCGGGUGUGAAAUUUCGGAGCUUAACUCCGAAACUGCAUUCGAUACUGCGGUGCUUGAGGACUGGAGAGGAGACUGGAAUUCAUGGUGUAGCAGUGAAAUGCGUAGAGAUCAUGAGGAAGACCAGUGGCGAAGGCGGGUCUCUGGACAGUUCCUGACACUGAGACACGAAGGCCAGGGGAGCAAACGGG
rnacentral:rRNA from 1 species